GCCACUGAACAGUAUUCAUGAGUAUCAGGUGGAAACAAAAAUGUUCACGUCUUCAAACUGGAACCUACAUUCAUUUCCAUCAAGUCUGGUAUCAACUUAAGACUGAUCAUUCCACAAAAAAAUAAUUGAAACUAUGAUGUGGAAGCGAUACCUUCAUUGUUAUACUCAACACUCCGUAUUUGAUGGAUUGCAUAUAUGAAAGCAGUACUGAUUAAAGGUUGAUUUUAAGAAGAAUCGUCAACUGACUCGCAUCACACCGGACCAUGCCGUUUUCGAAUGAAAGAGGAAGAUAUUUUCUUUUGGAUUUACUACUCUGUCACAUUAGAAUAACCAGAUAUUGAUAUGCUCUGAGAUUAAUGACCACCAGCCAGAACUUUGGAGUCAUACAUACUAGCAAGAACUAGUGAGAUAACAUCCGUUUGCAUCACUUUACUUACAAAUACUACUGGGGUGAAACAGAAUGUCAUAUAAAUGGGCAGCGAGGUCAACUCAUCUGCAUUUGAUACUACAGCAGUGCACUGAACAAAGAAUACAUCCGAUGGCGUUGAUUUGAGCAACAGCACAACAAUGCUCCCAACUGUGGAAAGAAUGGCCCUUUCAGUUCCAGCUACAAAUUCUACACACAGAGGAUGUCUAGAUUCCCAGGAAAGAACGGUACAGAAGUAAUUUCGGUAUUGACAAAUUUUGACCAAAAUGAUAACGGUGCAACGGACGACAUCUGGAAUCUUCAGCAAGCGAAUAUUAGAAUUCGAUGUCUUUUGAAUGAAAUAUUGGAUGAAAUUCCAACAGAUGCAGUGUGUAAAAUUACAUUAGACCAAACACAAAAUGCAUAUUCUGUACUAAAUAAUUAUCAAUGAUCUGCUUAGUGGAAAUGUGAAUACAUAUGGAGUUAACAUUAUUUGAGUAUAUCAAUACAUCUGUGAAAUGCUUUAUUCUUCUAUUUUUAAUGUGUUGUAUAUUUAUAUAUUUUCGGAGAAUUCUUUCAAUCAAUGCAGUAAUUCUUUUUGAACUUGGAAAAGGUUGAAGCGCAUGGAAUGUAUAUCAUUUAAAAUAUGUGUUUGCAUAUGAAUCAAUAUUUGAUCUUAAAAAUGUUUUCAAAAUUGUUACUCGUAUAUCAAUUUGAAGGAAAUAUAAUGUUCCAAAAGCUAAUAACGUUGAGGUUUGUUUUCUGCAGCUUUAGAAACGAGAAAUGUUUGAAACAAUCCGGACCUAAUGAAACAUUUUUUUAUGGCUAAAUUAAAAUUUUGCAGUGUGCUUUCUUUUUGUUAUCUACCUAAAGCCAAUUUCCAAUAAGACGGAAAGAAUUUUUCUUUCAAGAUGUAUAAAAUUCACUUUAAAUUUUCUUUUGUAACAAUCAUUUAUCAAAACCCCACAGGUAGAAAUGUCACUGACCCGCAAUAGUGACAGGGAUCUCAACGAUUGACACAGAAUUGUAAUUAGUUGAUAUUAAGUCCUAAUAUGUAUGGUACAAUUCUCAAUACAAUAUGGUAAAUAGUGAAUGAAUCAUUACUAUAUUAGAUGAUUUGUUAAAAUUAAUCUUUAUCAUCGAUUGAAUUAUCAUAGUUCUAAAUUUUAAUUGUUCUUAUUGUCAAUCGAUUAGCUACGAUUUCUUCUCAUCAACAUAAUUGUUUGCACUUAGUUUUCAAUUUAUUAACAGUUUUUAUAAAAUAGUUAUGAUUUGUUUUUAUUUAUUACUGAAUGUCAAAACUCGAGAAAGCAAUUUCAUUAAUUUUCCCUGAAUUGAAAUUUCCUAACAUGGUCAAUGCUCAUUAAUUGAAAUACAACUUCUUCAAUCUGAGAACAUUUUGCACAAUUUUUGUAGUUAUAUUAAGUAAAUAUC